rnacentral:rRNA from 1 species
GACGUAGGGCGCGAGCGUUGUCCGGAUUUAUUGGGCGUAAAGAGCUCGUAGGCGGCUUGUCGCGUCGGAUGUGAAAGCCCGGGGGCUUAACCCCCGGGUCUGCAUUCGAUACGGGCAGGCUAGAGUUCGGUAGGGGGAGACUGGAAUUCCUGGUGUAGCGGUGAAAUGCGCAGAUAUCAGGAGGAACACCGGUGGCGAAGGCGGGUCUCUGGGCCGAUACUGACGCUGAGGAGCGAAAGCGUGGGGAGCGAACAGG